AUAAGUGUCGUGGCGGAACCAAUAUUUGCAUAUUGUUCAAAGAGGAAGGCUGCUCUGACUUUGACAACUUUCCAUUAAGAAAGUUUGGCCUGUGGAAAAACUCUGUUGGUGCUGUUCCCUACUAUCCUGCAAAAAAACUGGAUCCUUGGGCUCAGGCUUUGGAAUCCAAGAAACAAACUGGUGAUUCUACCAAACACUUGCGUCGGCCAAAGGUGAAUCGCCGUGAUGAAGAGUCGUCUCCGUGUGACGCCUUAACUGCAAAGAAAAGAAAAACUGGUUUCGCAGUCAAGGAAGGAGUUCCCAGUGACGAAGAAUUAAAGUGGCUUUCGCACCAACUCGAAAAUUGGGAGGAACUCGGGCGUCGUCUCAAAAUUGGGGAAGCAACAUUAACGGCAUUUGACGAUGACUAUAGGAAAAAUCGUCAAAAAAUCUAUAAAAUGUUACGACACUGGAAACAGAAGGAUGGCUCAGCUGCAACAUACAUGGUCCUACAUGAUGCACUGUGUCAUCAAUUUGUUAAUCGCACAGAUUUAGCUGAGAAACUUUGCUGUCAACAACAUGAAUGACUGUUUACUUUAUUGACUCAUAGAUAGCUUUUAUUUCUAUUUUUACUGAUUAUUCCACUGUUAAAUGAACAUGUAUCCCCAAUACAGCUACACUAUUACCAUAUGAAGUAUUAAAUCAUUAAUCUUCCUUUUCCUCAUGGGAUCGUUUUUCUGUCUAUUAUACGCAUGCAUCUUUCUAUUCUUUUAAAGAAA